UCUUUCGGGGCAGGGUGGAAUUCCCAACCGGCGGUAAGCUUUGAAGCAAGCCCGCGACCCGUACUGUUUUACGGUACGGCUGAUUCAGUGCAAGUCUGAAGCCGACAGUCAGAGUCUGGAUGGGAGAGAGA
rnacentral:ncRNA from 1 species